rnacentral:rRNA from 1 species
UACGUAGGGGGCAAGCGUUGUCCGGAUUUAUUGGGCGUAAAGAGCGUGUAGGCGGCUUGGUAGGUCCGCUGUGAAAACUCGAGGCUCAACCUCGAGAUGUCGGCGGAAACCACUUGGCUAGAGUCCGGAAGAGGAGAGUGGAAUUCCUGGUGUAGCGGUGAAAUGCGCAGAUAUCAGGAAGAACACCUAUGGCGAAGGCAGCUCUCUGGGACGGUACUGACGCUGAGAAGCGAAAGCAUGGGGAGCGAACAGG